rnacentral:lncRNA from 1 species
UGGACAGAUACAAUGUGUAAUAAUUACUUAUAAGAAUAAGAACGCAAAAAAAAUUGUUACCUAGUAUUUAAGAUAGCAAAGUAAAGGAAUUUCAUUGUGAUCUUUUAGGCUUUAGCUAAAGCUUGUCUUUAUAACAAGGUCAAAAGAAGAGUAAACCAUCUUACUUUUUCCCCACUAAAUGCUGCACCUUGAAACUUAUACAUGAGACAGAGGCCCCCACUCACGAAAAUUUGUUCGAUUGCAAUACAAAACAUGUGAAAGGAUGCUUCAAAUCUUCCUUCUACCAUUUCGAGAUGCAGAAGAGUUUUAUCCCUUCACACCUUCAUCCAUCUGCGAAGGCCUAUCAGAUUCAUGUCUAACAGCAUUAAAAGUAGAACAUAAUUAACAACUUUUUGUUCCAGAAUAAAAUGUUAGUACCACAAGUUUAGAACAAUAGUUGCCUAGCCCCUUCAAAUUCAAACAGGAGCAAAAUAUAUGCUCACUAUCACACAAAGUGGCACUCGCAAAAUUAAGAAAGUUUCAAUUUGUUUCAAUUUAACAAAAUUUACGAACAUACAAAUUUAUUUUUUCCACUGUGCUUUUAGUUUAGGAGCUUUUAACAUGAUAAUGAAAUUAUAGUACUCCCUUCGUUCCUUUCCUUAAUAUAAGUCUGUUUUAGAGAAAUAUUUUUGUUCCUUAAUAUAAGACAGUUUUAGAAUUUCAAGUAAGCAUUAAUUGCUUAGUUUCCAAUAUUACCCCAAGUAUUAAAUAUAACUUUGGUUCUCUCACUAUUUUUUGUCUAAUAAAUAACAAUCUCUUCUUCCGAUACAAGGGCAAAAUAGACAAUUGAUAUUAUAGUUAAUGUUAUACAAUCAUUUCCUUAAUACUUGUGCACAACUCUAAAACGACCUAUAUUAAAGAACGGAGGGAGUAAUAAACUUGAAGAAGUCUGUCAUUUAAUUCUACGACUCAAAUCAAUUGCACUUUUUGAAAUAAACAAAGAGCAAAAAAAUUGGAACUUUUUGGGGAUGGGAUGAAUACAUAACAAUUAUGUAGAGACCAAAAUCUCUUUUUGCUAAACAGUUUUAUUGCUCUUGCAAUCUGCUAAAUGAUUAUCCAAUGAUGCCAAAAAAUAUCAAAGAAUCACAAUUUUACAAUGUUAACACAAAAUAGAUUUUAUAAUAAUAAAAUAGAAAUUUGAUUAGAUAAAAAUUAUCUUAUAUUACUGUGAGUGGUUAUCAAAAUUUGUCUUAAUAAUGCUUAAAAAAAUUAAAGGCAGUAUAUUAACAAUGCGUGUACCUUUUCCCUGAAUUAAGAGCCUUGGUUAUUCAUAUAUGUUGAUUUCUGAUUUUGUAGUUGUAACAAUGUUGAUUAUGUAGGAGGAGAAGGAAGGAAUGGACACCAAUCGCAACAGACAAGGAAAACCACACACCACACCACCAGAGGAGAGAACCUGGGUUAAAAAGCCCCGUGCUUUCUCCCCUCAAAACCAAAAUAUAUCGUUUAUUAUAUUAAAAUUUUGAUGACCUGCCAUGCAAGCGCACCUGUCAUGGCAAAGGCCGUAUCACAUCAUAACAGAAUCCCUUUUCCCCAAUUGUCUACCCAUAACAGAACCCCUUUUCCCCAACCCAAAAUACAAACCCUUACAAGCUAAAUCCAAUUUCGCAAGAUUCCAAGUUAUGAAAGAUUAGGGUUCGUCGAUUGUCUACCACCAGGAAACAUCACAACGCAGCGCCUGCGACGAAACAAUCCCAUCUUAUUCUGAAUUGAAACCUGCAGAAAAACUUCUGAUACCUUUCAUAGAUGACGAAACAACUAUAGAAAAUAUAACAAUAAACAAAAAAUCAAAGUAUACGGUAGCAAUCGAUAAACCUCUAGUACCAAAUUCCGUCGGUUUCAAAGCGCUGGUCUAAACGAUAAAGGAAAGGCAGGUACGUUGUACGGCAUAAUGUGUUUCUACCGGUAUAUAUAGGAUAGUUGGGGAGAGCGAACGGCUAGGAUUGAGGGAAUGAAUUAAGGAUCAACGGUGGUAAAUUAACCUAUUAGAUUGAGUCGUUUUCUUGCGUUUCGUUUAACCGGUUGUAGACGCUGUCAAUGAGCUGGCAAUUUAGACAUUAACGAAUAUAAAUUGAACACAUGUUAAACUAAUCUUCCGGGCACGUUUAUGUUUGUUUCGUCCAUUCCAACGACAUUUAUCCUAAACUGGACUCAGAACUGGCUCGGCCCAGUUACCUAUGGGCCUUCACGUAAGAGCCUUGACAGCCUAAUCCCAAAAUUCCUUUUUGUUUUAUAAUUAAAAUAAUUUUCGGUGCACAACUUAAUUAAGGGACCGUUUCAUAAAAUUGAAUUCUGAAUAUUUAAUUAAUCUGAAUAAAUUAAAUAAAAAAAAUUAUUUAAUAAUUAAUAUAUCUGAAACAUCUGAAUAACAGUCUUUUAUUAUUUUACCCCUCUUAAAUUAUUUUAGUUUCUUACUUCAUAUGCCUAUUUAAAAUUUUUAUUUUUUCUUAAG